ACUGUCGGACUGGUUCUGAUUAAUUAAUAGCUGCACUAGAUACGCGGAUGUUUUGCCACAUGCUGAUUGUCAUGUUGGAUUGAAAUCGCAAAUCAUUGUUUCCGGUCAAAUUUAACAAUGAAUGAGGCCAAAAUUGUGGCCUCAAUUGAGGUUAUAGAACUUUAUGAACUAGAGCAGCAACUGUUCAUCUUUC